GGUAUGUAAAGCUCUAUCAGCAGGGAAGAAAAUGACGGUACCUGACUAAGAAGCACCGGCUAAAUACGUGCCAGCAGCCGCGGUAAUACGUAUGGUGCAAGCGUUAUCCGGAUUUACUGGGUGUAAAGGGAGCGUAGACGGAUGGGCAAGUCUGAUGUGAAAACCCGGGGCUCAACCCCGGGACUGCAUUGGAAACUGUUCAUCUAGAGUGCUGGAGAGGUAAGUGGAAUUCCUAGUGUAGCGGUGAAAUGCGUAGAUAUUAGGAGGAACACCAGUGGCGAAGGCGGCUUACUGGACAGUAACUGACGUUGAGGCUCGAAAGCGUGGGGAGCAAACAGGAUUAGAUACCCUGGUAGUCCACGCCGUAAACGAUGACUACUAGGUGUCGGUGGCAAAGCCAUUCGGUGCCGCAGCACACGCAAUAAGUAGUCCACCUGGGGAGUA
rnacentral:rRNA from 1 species